rnacentral:rRNA from 1 species
UAAUACUUAGGAAUCUACCUAGUAGUGGGGGAUAGCACGGGGAAACUCGUAUUAAUACCGCAUACGACCUACGGGAGAAAGGGGGCANNUUGNUGCUCUCGCUAUUAGAUGAGCCUAAGUCGGAUUAGCUAGAUGGUGGGGUAAAGGCCUACCAUGGCGACGAUCUGUAGCUGGUCUGAGAGGAUGAUCAGCCACACCGGGACUGAGACACGGCCCGGACUCCUACGGGAGGCAGCAGUGGGGAAUAUUGGACAAUGGGGGAAACCCUGAUCCAGCCAUGCCGCGUGUGUGAAGAAGGCCUUUUGGUUGUAAAGCACUUUAAGCAGUGAAGAAGACUCUUCGGUUAAUACCCGGAGACGAUGACAUUAGCUGCAGAAUAAGCACCGGCUAACUCUGUGCCAGCAGCCGCGGUAAUACAGAGGGUGCAAGCGUUAAUCGGAAUUACUGGGCGUAAAGGGAGCGUAGGUGGCUCGAUAAGUCAGAUGUGAAAUCCCCGGGCUCAACCUGGGAACUGCAUCUGAUACUGUUGAGCUAGAGUAUGUGAGAGGAAGGUAGAAUUCCAGGUGUAGCGGUGAAAUGCGUA